CCUACGGGAGGCAGCAGUGGGGAAUAUUGGACAAUGGGGGAAACCCUGAUCCAGCGACGCCGCGUGAGUGAAGAAGUAUUUCGGUACGUAAAGCUCUAUCAGCAGGAAAGAAAAUGACGGUACCUGACUAAGAAGCCCCGGCUAACUACGUGCCAGCAGCCGCGGUAAUACGUAGGGGGCAAGCGUUAUCCGGAUUUACUGGGUGUAAAGGGAGCGUAGACGGCAGCGCAAGUCUGGAGUGAAAUGCCGGGGCCCAACCCCGGAACUGCUCUGGAAACUGUGAAGCUGGAGUGUCGGAGGGGCAGGCGGAAUUCCUAGUGUAGCGGUGAAAUGCGUAGAUAUUAGGAGGAACACCGGUGGCGAAGGCGGCCUGCUGGACGAUGACUGACGCUGAGGCUCGAAAGCGUGGGGAGCAAACAGGAUUAGAUACCCGGGUAGUC
rnacentral:rRNA from 1 species